ACUGGCGGCAGGCUUACACAUGCAAGUCGAACGGUAGCAGGAGAAAGCUUGCUUUCUUGCUGACGAGUGGCGGACGGGUGAGUAAUGCUUGGGAAUCUGGCUUAUGGAGGGGGAUAACUACUGGAAACGGUAGCUAAUACCGCGUAACAUCUUCGGAUUAAAGGGUGGGAUCUUCGGACCACUUGCCAUAAGAUGAGCCCAAGUGGGAUUAGGUAGUUGGUGGGGUAAAGGCCUACCAAGCCGACGAUCUCUAGCUGGUCUGAGAGGAUGACCAGCCACACUGGAACUGAGACACGGUCCAGACUCCUACGGGAGGCAGCAGUGGGGAAUAUUGCACAAUGGGGGGAACCCUGAUGCAGCCAUGCCGCGUGAAUGAAGAAGGCCUUCGGGUUGUAAAGUUCUUUCGGUGAUGAGGAAGGCAGAUAAGUUAAUAGCUUAUUUGAUUGACGUUAGUCACAGAAGAAGCACCGGCUAACUCCGUGCCAGCAGCCGCGGUAAU
rnacentral:rRNA from 1 species